rnacentral:rRNA from 1 species
CUGGCUCAGGAUGAACGCUAGCUACAGGCUUAACACAUGCAAGUCGAGGGGCAGCAGGACGAUAGCUGCUAUGUGCUGGCGACCGGCGCACGGGUGAGUAACGCGUAUCCAACCUUCCCCUUAGUAGGGCAUAGCCCGGUGAAAAUCGGAUUAAUACCCUAUGUUGUGUCAUGAGGACAUCUGAAUAACACUAAAGAUUUAUCGCUAAGGGAUGGGGAUGCGUCCGAUUAGGUAGUCGGCGGGGUAACGGCCCACCGAGCCCUCGAUCGGUAGGGGUUCUGAGAGGAAGGUCCCCCACACUGGUACUGAGACACGGACCAGACUCCUACGGGAGGCAGCAGUGAGGAAUAUUGGUCAAUGGGCGUAAGCCUGAACCAGCCAAGUAAGCGUGCAGGAUGACGGCCCUAUGGGUUGUAAACUGCUUUUAUACGGGGAUAAAGUCGCCCACGUGUGGGUGUUUGUAGGUACCGUAUGAAUAAGGACCGGCUAAUUCCGUGCCAGCAGCGGC